UACGGGGGGGGCAAGCGUUGUUCGGAAUUACUGGGCGUAAAGGGCCAGUAGGCGGCCAACUAAGUCCGACGUGAAAUCCCCAGGCUUAACCUGGGAACUGCGUCGGAUACUGGAUGGCUUGAAUUCGGGAGAGGGAUGCAGAAUUCCAGGUGUAGCGGUGAAAUGCGUAGAUAUCAGGAGGAACACCGGUGGCGAAGGCGGCUUGCUGGGCCAGUUCUGACGCUGAGGAGCGAAAGCGUGGGGAGCGAACAGG
rnacentral:rRNA from 1 species